rnacentral:rRNA from 1 species
GAUGAACGCUGGCUACAGGCUUAACACAUGCAAGUCGAGGGGAAACGACGGGGAAGCUUGCUUCCCCGGGCGUCGACCGGCGCACGGGUGAGUAACGCGUAUCCAACCUGCCUCUGACUGAGGGAUAACCCGUCGAAAGUCGGCCUAAUACCUCAUGGCAUCGUCUGCGGGCAUCCAACGACGAUUAAAGAUUUCAUCGGUCAGGGAUGGGGAUGCGUCUGAUUAGCUUGUUGGCGGGGUAACGGCCCACCAAGGCUACGAUCAGUAGGGGUUCUGAGGGGAAGGGCCCCCACAUUGGAACUGAGACACGGGCCAAACUCCUACGGGAGGCAGCAGUGAGGAAUAUUGGUCAAUGGGCGGGAGCCUGAACCAGCCAAGUAGCGUGCAGGAGGACGGCCCUAUGGGUUGUAAACUGCUUUUAUGCGGGGAUAAAGUGAGGGACGUGUCCUUCAUUGCAGGUACCGCAUGAAUAAGGACCGGCUAAUUCCGUG